AUGAACGCUGGCGGCGCGCCUAACACAUGCAAGUCGAACGGCACCCCUCCUCGGAGGGAAGCGAGUGGCGAACGGCUGAGUAACACGUGGAGAACCUGCCCCCUCCCCCGGGAUAGCCGCCCGAAAGGACGGGUAAUACCGGAUACCCCCGGGUGCCGCAUGGCGCCCGGGCUAAAGCCCCGACGGGAGGGGAUGGCUCCGCGGCCCAUCAGGUAGACGGCGGGGUGACGGCCCACCGUGCCGACAACGGGUAGCCGGGUUGAGAGACCGACCGGCCAGAUUGGGACUGAGACACGGCCCAGACUCC
rnacentral:rRNA from 1 species